rnacentral:rRNA from 1 species
UACGUAGGGGGCAAGCGUUGUCCGGAUUCAUUGGGCGUAAAGAGCUCGUAGGCGGUUUGUCACGUCUGCUGUGAAAACUGGAGGCUCAACCUCCAGCCUGCAGUGGGUACGGGCAGACUAGAGUGCGGUAGGGGAGAUUGGAAUUCCUGGUGUAGCGGUGGAAUGCGCAGAUAUCAGGAGGAACACCGAUGGCGAAGGCAGAUCUCUGGGCCGUAACUGACGCUGAGGAGCGAAAGCAUGGGGAGCGAACAGG